rnacentral:rRNA from 1 species
ACGCUCGACACCUACGGGAGGCAGCAGUGGGGAAUAUUGCACAAUGGGGGAAACCCUGAUGCAGCGACGCCGCGUGGAGGAAGAAGGUCUUCGGAUUGUAAACUCCUGUUGGUUGGGGAAAAAGAGGAUGGUACCCAACAAGGAAGUGACGGCUAACUACGUGCUAGCAGCCGNGGUAANCUGAGCGGGCUGGCAAGGC